rnacentral:tRNA from 1 species
GGUCCGGUAGCUCAACAGGCGAGAGCGUCGGCCUUAUAAGCCGAAGGUUCUGGGUUCGAGUCCCAGCCGGACUA